rnacentral:rRNA from 1 species
AUGGCAUUGCUUCGUGACCUUUGGAUGCCCAAAAGUCAGUGCUAUAUCACAGGACCGGUUUGGCCAACUAUUGAGGCAGAGAACUUCGAGCUGAAACCUAGUCUUAUUGCUUUGGUUCAACAACAACAGUUUGGAGGACUGCCUACUGAAGACCCUUAUGAGCACUUGCUCCGAGUGAUGGAGUAUUCAGAUACAUUCGCAAUUCAAGAUGAGAUGUUCAGCUUCGUUCAGCGUGAAGGCGAGAGCUUGUAUGAUGCUUGGGAGAGGUACGAAGCCUUCUUCAGGAGAUGUCCUAACCACGGGCUCGAGAGAUGGUUAGAGAUGCAGCUAUUCUAUAGAGGAUUGACUUCGGACACUCGAUCUUACGUUCAUAUGGCAGCGGGUGGAGCUAUUACAAACAAGACACUUGAUGAUGCUUUUCUGCUGAUUGAGAACAUAGCCUUCCACCAACUUCAGUGGUACAACGAGAAGCCCACCUCUGGCCCAGUUGCUUGCUUGCAACAAAUCACUUCAUGUCAGCAAGAAUCUCUUACACAAAAGCCGGAACCAGUUUCUCCGUCUGACAAGAUUGAGCUUUCAUGGAUUAUCUUUGAUGAUGAUGACACCAUCCUAGUUGACACACACACUGCAGAUCAUAUGGAUACUAGCAUUCUAGAUUCUGUUUUGCAUUGUGAUGAUUCUUGUGUGGAUGAACUAGAGCUACACUUAGUUACUUUUGAUAUUGAGGAGAUACCUUUGGUUGAUAUUGAUCAUGUGCUGCUAGAACCAGAUAUGGAGAAGUUCACCUUUGAUGAUGUUAGCCACAUCGAUUCUUCAAUGCUUGAGCCUGAGAUGGAAAUCUUCACUGUUGAUUAUGAUGAGGUCACUUCAGAUGUCAAGGAGCAAAGCCCUACUAUUUCACUUGUCGAUACAAGCCCGGUGGAAGUUUCUACUACCAUGCCUUCCAUGGUAUCUUUAGUUGAGAGGGCAUUCUCUCUGUCACAUGUAUUGGCUUGGUUGUUGAGUGUUCUUUUAGGUUGA